rnacentral:rRNA from 1 species
CCUACGGGAGGCAGCAGUAGGGAAUAUUGGGCAAUGGAGGCAACUCUGACCCAGCCAUGCCGCGUGCAGGAAGAAGGCGUUAUGCGUUGUAAACUGCUUUUAUAUAGGAAGAAAUAGUCCUUGCGAGGAAAGUUGACGGUACUAUAUGAACUAAGCACCGGCUAACUCCGUGCCAGCAGCCGCGGUAAUACGGAGGGUGCAAGCGUUGUCCGGAUUUAUUGGGUUUAAAGGGUGCGUAGGCGGUUUAUUAAGUCAGUGGUGAAAGACGGUCGCUCAACGAUUGCAGUGCCAUUGAUACUGGUAGACUUGAGUGGGAUUGAGGUAGCUGGAAUGGAUAGUGUAGCGGUGAAAUGCAUAGAUAUUAUCCAGAACACCAAUUGCGUAGGCAAGUUACUAAGUCUCAACUGACGCUGAGGCACGAAAGUGUGGGUAUCAAACAGGAUUAGAUACCCUGGUAGUCCACACUGUAAACGAUGAUAACUAACUGUUGGCUUUCGAGUCAGUGGUACAGAGAAAUCGUUAAGUUAUCCACCGUGGGGUAAGUACGCCGGCGAACGGUGAAACUUCGAAGGAAUUGACGG